GUGCUCACUUUGGCAGCACGUAUACCAAAAUUGUGAAUGAUACAAAGAAAAUUUUCUUGGCCCCUGAACAAGGGUAACAUGCAAAUUCAUGAAGCAUUUUAUAUUUUU
rnacentral:snRNA from 1 species